AGCGUAACAAUUACUGUAUGAAAAAGGAAAGGAAUGAGAGAGUAACAAUUACUGUAUGAAAAAGGAAAGGAAUGAGAGCGUAAUAAUUACUGUAUGAGGAAAGGAAUGAGAGCGUAACAAUUACUGUAUGAGAGAAAGGAAAGGAAUGAGAGCGUAACAAUUACUGUAUGAAAAAGGAAAGGAAUGACAGCGUAACAAUUACUGUAUGAAAAAAGGAAAGGAAUGAGAGCAUAACAAUUACUGUAUGAGAAAAGGAAAGGAAUGAGAGCGUAACAAUUACUGUAUGAAAAAGGAAAGGAAUGAGAGCGUAACAAUUACUGUAUGAAAAAGGAAAGGAAUGAGAGCGUAACAAUUACUGUAUGAAAAAGGAAAGGAAUGAGAGCGUAACAAUUACUGUAUGAAAAAGGAAAGGAAUGAGAGCAUAACAAUUACUGUAUGAAAAAGGAAAGGAAUGAGAGCGUAACAAUUACUGUAUGAAAAAGGAAAGGAAUGAGAGCAUAACAAUUACUGUAUGAGAAA